UUUUUACAGAUUUACUUGAAGAGGUUUGUAGGAUGCAAAGACUUUCCUAAUAAUAUUCAGACCCCGUUUUUGGUUUUGACAAACCAAAUGGCCUCUUCUUCUCUUUUUACUUAGUGGCAGUCUGAGUAACUUUACUUCGUGAUGCUAUUUGCCUGGAAACCUUUAAGUCAUUAUGAAGUCUGAUGUACCCCCAGGUUGACUCAGCUCCCCAGACCCUGAUAGUGUUGGAAACUGCGGUGACCGAUGGAAUAAAGCCUUAUCAGAGAAAAGAGUGUCCUAAAUUCUCUAUUUCUCUAACUUUCCUCCAGUUGGCAAUGCGUAAUAUCAAACAAGUAAAGACAUUUAAAACACAAACAGACAAACCUGGAUACUCAAACUGCGUGUGACUCUGAAGUGGAAUCGGUCUGGGUUGCUGUCCGGAUCUCACCAAGGUGAACCCUUGCACACACUCCUGAGCUCUCAUGUUAAGGACACGCUUCCAGUAGCUGUCACCAUCCCUUUUGGGAACUUGGGAUCACAGGUGGCAACAUGGCUGACAUCUUUGUGUGUUGCCACACUUUUUCUUCUGGCUGAACGUUACAGGUGUGGAUUUGGGCAGCCCAUCAAUGUGUUUAAUCUGGAUCAAGAGAUCUCAAUAAGGGUUCCAUUAGGCCCUGAAGCCGUCUCAUUUCUCAGCCCUGUCUGGGCUUUGCACAUUCCCUCAUGAAAAAAGAGGGUUUGGCGAUUAUCAUCUCUACCUGUAGCUUCUCCUGGACAAAUGCAUCCCUUAUUAUGGUAGAAAUCUAGUCAAUAUAGCUGUCAGGGAGUUCCUGUCGGGGCUCAGAGGUUAAUGAACCUGACUGGUACCCCUGAGGACGCUGAUUCAGUCCCGGGCUUUGCUCAGUGUUAGUGGGUUAAAGAUCCAGCGUUGCCAUGAGCUGUGGUGUAGCUCACAGAUGCAGCUCAGAUUCCGUGUUGCUGUGGCUGUGGUGUAGGCUGGCAGAUGUAGCUCGGAUUCCACCCCUAGCCUGGGAACCUCCUUAGGCCAUGGGUGUGGCCCUAAAGAGACAAAACAUAAAAAAAUUUUUUAUUUUUUUAUAAAAAAUAAAGCUGUCAGAAUUCUUAAACUAUUGACA
rnacentral:lncRNA from 1 species